rnacentral:rRNA from 1 species
GAUGAACGCUGGCGGCGUGCCUAAUACAUGCAAGUCGAGCGAACGGACGAGAAGCUUGCUUCUCUGAUGUUAGCGGCGGACGGGUGAGUAACACGUGGAUAACCUACCUAUAAGACUGGGAUAACUUCGGGAAACCGGAGCUAAUACCGGAUAAUAUUUUGAACCGCAUGGUUCAAAAGUAAAAGACGGUCUUGCUGUCACUUAUAGAUGGAUCCGCGCUGCAUUAGCUAGUUGGUAAGGUAACGGCUUACCGAGGCAACGAUGCAUAGCCGACCUGAGAGGGUGAUCGGCCACACUGGAACUGAGACGCGGUCCAGACUCCUACGGGAGGCAGCAGUAGGGAAUCUUCCGCAAUGGGCGAAAGCCUGACGGAGCAACGCCGCGUGAGUGAUGAAGGUCUUCGGAUCGUAAAACUCUGUUAUUAGGGAAGAACAUAUGUGUAAGUAACUGUGCACAUCUUGACGGUACCUAAUCAGAAAGCCACGGCUAACUACGUG